GAAGGUAUAACUCAGUGUUUGAGUGCGUGCUUAGCAUGCACAAGGUCCUGGGUUCAAUCCCCAGCACCUCCA
rnacentral:tRNA from 1 species